rnacentral:rRNA from 1 species
UACAGAGGUCCCGAGCGUUGUUCGGAUUCAUUGGGCGUAAAGGGUGCGUAGGUGGCAAAGUAAGUUGGAUGUGAAAUCCUGGGGCUUAACCUCAGAAUUGCAUUCAAUACUGCUUAGCUAGAGAGCUGUAGAGGAGACUGGAAUUUACGGUGUAGCAGUGAAAUGCGUAGAUAUCGUAAGGAACGCCAGUGGCGAAAGCGAGUCUCUGGGCAGCAUCUGACACUGAGGCACGAAGGCCAGGGGAGCAAACGGG